GACGAACGCUGGCGGCGUGCCUAAUACAUGCAAGUCGAACGAAGCUGUUUUAACUGGUGCUUGCACCGACUUAAACAACUGAGUGGCGAACGGGUGAGUAACACGUGGGUAACCUGCCCCAAAGCGGGGGAUAACAUUUGGAAACAGAUGCUAAUACCGCAUAACCACAGAAACAACAUGGUUCCUGUUUCAAAGAUGGGUUCGGCUAUCACUUUGGGAUGGACCUGGGGCGUAUUAGCUAGUUGGUAAGGUAAUGGAUUACCAAGGCAAUGAUACGUAGCCGAACUGAGAGGUUGAUCGGCCACAUUGGGACUGAGACACGGCCCAAACUCCUACGGGAGGCAGCAGUAGGGAAUCUUCCACAAUGGACGAAAGUCUGAUGGAGCAACGCCGCGUGAGUGAAGAAGGUUUUCGGAUCGUAAAACUCUGUUGUCAGAGAAGAACGUGUGCGAGAGUAACUGCUCGUGCAGUGACGGUAUCUGGCCAGAAAGCCACGGCUAACUACGUGCCAGCCGCCGCCGUAA
rnacentral:rRNA from 1 species